CGUGUGGUUCUAUUUUGUUGGUUUCUAGGACCGCCGUAAUGAUUAAUAGGGACAGUCGGGGGCAUCAGUAUUCAAUUGUCAGAGGUGAAAUUCUUGGAUUUAUUGAAGACUAACUACUGCGAAAGCAUUUGCCAAGGAUGUUUUCAUUAAUCAGGAACGAAAGUUAGGGGAUCGAAGACGAUCAGAUACCGUCGUAGUCUUAACCAUAAACUAUGCCGACCAGGGAUCGGACGAUGUUAUUUUUUGACUCGUUCGGCACCUUACACGAAAGUACAAGUUUCUGGGUUCUGGGGGGAGUAUGGUCGCAAGGCUGAAACUUAAAGAAAUUGACGGAAGGGCACCACCAGGGGUGGAGCCUGCGGCUUAAUCUGACUCAACACGGGGAAACUCACCAGGUCCAGACACGACGAGGAUUGACAGAUUGAGAGCUCUUUCUUGAUUUCGUGGGUGGUGGUGCAUGGCCGUUCUUAGUUGGUGGAGUGAUUUGUCUGCUUAAUUGCGAUAACGAACGAGACCUUAACCUGCUAAAUAGCCCGCGUUGCUUUGGCAGCGCGCCGGCUUCUUAGAGGGACUAUCGGCUCAAGCCGAUGGAAGUUUGAGGCAAUAACAGGUCUGUGAUGCCCUUAGAUGUUCUGGGCUGCACGCGCGUUACACUGACGGAGCCAGCGAGUACUUCCUUGGCCGAAAGGCCCGGGUAAUCUUGUUAAACUCCGUCGUGC
rnacentral:rRNA from 1 species